rnacentral:rRNA from 1 species
UACGGGGGGAGCAAGCGUUGUUCGGAUUUACUGGGCGUAAAGGGCGCGUAGGCGGUCGUGACAAGUCACUUGUGAAAUCUCCGGGCUUAACUCGGAACGGUCAAGUGAUACUGUCGGACUAGAGUACAGAAGGGGCAACUGGAAUUCUCGGUGUAGCGGUGAAAUGCGUAGAUAUCGAGAGGAACACCUGCGGCGAAGGCGUGUUGCUGGGCUGAUACUGACGCUGAGGCGCGAAAGCCAGGGGAGCGAACGGG